rnacentral:rRNA from 1 species
CGUGCCUAAUACAUGCAAGUCGAGCGAACAGACGAGGAGCUUGCUCCUCUGACGUUAGCGGCGGACGGGUGAGUAACACGUGGAUAACCUACCUAUAAGACUGGGAUAACUUCGGGAAACCGGAGCUAAUACCGGAUAAUAUAUUGAACCGCAUGGUUCAAUAGUGAAAGACGGUUUUGCUGUCACUUAUAGAUGGAUCCGCGCCGCAUUAGCUAGUUGGUAAGGUAACGGCUUACCAAGGCAACGAUGCGUAGCCGACCUGAGAGGGUGAUCGGCCACACUGGAACUGAGACACGGUCCAGACUCCUACGGGAGGCAGCAGUAGGGAAUCUUCCGCAAUGGGCGAAAGCCUGACGGAGCAACGCCGCGUGAGUGAUGAAGGUCUUCGGAUCGUAAAACUCUGUUAUUAGGGAAGAACAAAUGUGUAAGUAACUAUGCACGUCUUGACGGUACCUAAUCAGAAAGCCACGGCUAACU